GCAGAUUGAUGUAUUCCUGGCCAUCCAAAUUUCAAAUGCUAUUGUGAAGUUCAACAUUGACAUGUUCAAGUUUCCUACUUUAGCAAGGAUUUAUGGAUCUUACAAGAAGUUACGAGAAUUCCUAGCCUCGUCACCAGAAAAGCAACCCAACGCCCUUCUUUAGGUGACUACAAGGCGGAGGCGCAAAAACCAUGUGAUAUCAUUAACAGCUUCAUGUCGGAAGAGCACAAGGCUCUUCACCUUGAGAUCGUGCGUUCGACCCCAUUGUGGGCCAAGGUAAUUUUUUUCUUUCUGUUUUUUACCUCUUUCGUAAUUGUCUAUUUUAUUUUGUUUUGGAGAUUUUAAUAUACUAAUAGUUAUUUAUUAAAAGAGCACAAAUGUUUAAUACGGUUAGA